rnacentral:misc_RNA from 1 species
GUGAACAUAAAACUUUAAAACAUACAAAGUACCAAGAAAUCUAAUAUUUUCCUUGUUUAGGUACUUGUGAGAUUGCUAGUAUGCUUAAUUUGAUGUCUUUACACAGGUUAAAAAACUAUUAAGUGAUCUUUUUACUGGUCUUCAUUUUGAGGAGCGAAACAACAUUGAAUUUAAAUAUUGCAAAAUUUCCUUGCGUUAUCUGUAAAUAGGAUUGCUUUUGCAUUUUGUCAUUUGUUUCCUAGAAGGUUUAUUGGGGCAACAAUGGGCUU